rnacentral:rRNA from 1 species
AACCGACACAGGUGUUCAGGGCGAGUAGCCCAAGGCGAACGAGUGAGAGAUCCUCAAGGAACUCGGCAAAAAAGCGACCGUACGUUAGCAAUAAGGUCUGCCGCCCGAAUAGGGUGGCCGCAGUUAAUAUUUCCCAAGCGACUGUUUACCAAAAACACAGCUCCCUGCAAACUCGUAAGAGGAAGUAUAGGGGGUGAUGCCUGACCAAUGCCGGUAGGUCAAAUGUGGUCGGUCUUAUGCAGCAAUGCAUAUUGCUGGCACUACAUAAGCCCCGGUCAAUGUCGGCGAUAACUAUAGUGUCUGGUAAGUUCAGACGCGCACGAAUGGUAUAACGACUUGGGAACUGUCUCGAGGAUUUGCUCGGUGAAAAUACAAGGGCGGUGAAGAUGCCGCCUUCCUGCAGCAAGACGAAAAGACCCCAGAAGCUUUACUGUAAUUUGGUAUUGGAUAUACGGGUGCGUUGCGUAGAAUAGAUGGGAGACUUUGAAGCGAGAAUCUCGGUUUUCGUGGAGUCGCCAGUGCAAUACCAUCCUACGUUUCUGUAUAUUCUAACCUCUUGGGAGAAACCCAAGAGAGACAGUACUUGAUGGACAGUUUCGGUGGGGCGCUGUCCUCUAAAAAGUAACGGAGGAGCCUAUUAUGGUCAGCUAGGCGCGAAUGGAAACCGUGCCGAUAGUGCAUUGGCAUAAGCUGGCUUGACUGCGAGUCGUACAUGACAAGCAGGCGCGAAAGCGGAGCAAAGUGAACCGACGGUCCGCAUUAGAUGCGGCCGAAGAUUAACGGAUAAAAGUUACUCUGGGGAUGACAGGCUGGUACCGCCUAAGAGUCCAAAUCGACGGCGGUGUUCGGCACCUUCAGCGAUGUCGGCUCAUCUCAUCCCGGGGCUGGAGAAGGUCCCAAGGGUUUGGCUGUUCGCCAAUUAAAGAGGUACGUGAGCUGGGUUCAAACCGUCGUGAGACAGGUUGGUCUUAAUCUGCUGUAGGCGUUGAUUCU